rnacentral:rRNA from 1 species
GAUGAACGCUAGCGGCAGGCCUAAUACAUGCAAGUCGAACGAGAUUAGUAGCAAUACUAUGAAAGUGGCGCACGGGUGCGUAACACGUAUGCAAUCUACCUUUAAUUGGAGAAUAGCCUCGAGAAAUCGGGAUUAAUACUCCAUAACAUUAUGAAAUGGCAUCAUUUUAUAAUUAAACCUCCGGGGAUUAAAGAUGAGCAUGCGCAACAUUAGCUAGUUGGUAAGGUAAUGGCUUACCAAGGCUACGAUGUUUAGGGGGUCUGAGAGGAUGAUCCCCCACACUGGUACUGAGACACGGACCAGACUCCUACGGGAGGCAGCAGUAGGGAAUAUUGGGCAAUGGAGGCAACUCUGACCCAGCCAUGCCGCGUGCAGGAUGACGGCCCUCUGGGUUGUAAACUGCUUUUAUACGGGAAGAAAAAGUACUACGUGUAGUAUAUUGACGGUACCGUAAGAAUAAGGAUCGGCUAACUCCGUGCCAGCAGCCGCGGUAAAGU